rnacentral:rRNA from 1 species
GUUGGUGGAGUGAUUUGUCUGGUUAAUUCCGUUAACGAACGAGACCUUAACCUGCUAAAUAUGCCGCGCUAACCCGUCCAUCAAAACCCAUGCGCGGCUCACGCGGUCCGCUGCGGGGUGGUGUCGCUUCGCGGCGACGUCAUCCCGCCGGCAGGGCCCGGGUCCGUGUGGGCGGUAGGGUUCGGCGUCCGUGCUUCUUAGAGGGACUGCUGCGCGCCUAGCCAGCGGAAGUUUGAGGCAAUAACAGG